AUUGAACGCUGGCGGCAGGCCUAACACAUGCAAGUCGAACGGUAACAGGAAGCAGCUUGCUGCUUUUCUGACGAGUGGCGGACGGGUGAGUAAUGUCUGGGAAACUGCCCGAUGGAGGGGGAUAACUACUGGAAAUGGUAGCUAAUACCGCAUAACGUCGCAAGACCAAAGAGGGGGACCUUAGGGCCUCUUGCCAUCGGAUGUGCCCAGAUGGGAUUAGCUAGUAGGUGGGGUAACGGCUCACCUAGGCGACGAGCCCUAGCUGGUCUGAGAGGAUGACAAGCCACACUGGAACUGAGACACGGUCCAGACUCCUACGGGAGGCAGCAGUGGGGAAUAUUGCACAAUGGGCGCAAGCCUGAUGCAGCCAUGCCGCGUGUAUGAAGAAGGCCUUCGGGUUGUAAAGUCCUUUCAGCGGGGAGGAAGGGAGUAAAGUUAAUACCAUUGCUCAUUGACGUUAACCGCAGAAGAAGCACCGGCUAACUCCGUG
rnacentral:rRNA from 1 species